UGGGAUUUGAUACGUGAGACUUCUGUCAGAAUUUGAGGUCUCACCACUAAUAAUCCCUAGAUCAUGAUUGCUCUCUGAUGACUGCAGUCGUUAAAGAUGUUGUCUGCAGACAGAUACGGAGCCCACAGAG